GAUGAAGAACGUAGCGAAAUGCGAUACUUGGUGUGAAUUGCAGAAUUCAGUGAAUCAUCGAGUCUUUGAACGCACAUUGCGCCCCCUGGUAUUCCGGGGGGCAUGCCUGUCCGAGCGUCAUUGCUGCCCUCAAGCACGGCUUGUGUGUUGGGCCUCCGUCCUCCUCCCGGGGGACGGGCCCGAAAGGCAGCGGCGGCACCGCGUCCGGUCCUCGAGCGUAUGGGGCUUCGUCACCCGCUCUUGUAGGCCCGGCCGGCGCUUGCCGACACAUCAAUCUUUUUUCCAGGUUGACCUCGGAUCAGGUAGGGAUACCCGCUGAACUUAAGCAUAUCAAUAAGCGGAGGA
rnacentral:misc_RNA from 1 species